UAAACCAGCUGGUAUUCAGAUAAGUUUUUACUGAGCUCAUACAUUAUCAUCACGUGAAGGCUACCCACCUUAACGCAUGAGGUUGAAGUAUUGAGUGUGACUUACGAGCAUUAAAAAGGUAUCUAUAUCUAGGUCUAUAUCUAUAUCUACAUCUAGGUAUCAUCUCUAGUAUCUAUAUCUAUAUCUAGGUAUCAUUCCAUACUUGAAUGGUAGGGAUUACAUUCUGCUUGUCUUGCAAUUGUGUAGUCGGAAAUUUCGACAUCGUCGAGGGCAAACGCGUCACUAAGGUAGCUUUUGGACUAGUGGCUAUAGAAUUUUAUAUGCCCUACUUUCUAAAAGUAUUGCAAAUAUUUGGUAUUGAUUAUUUAUUGUCAAAUGAGCGUUGCCGUUGGAUAUCCUCAGCAGUUAGGAGUUUAGAUUGUCUAAUCUUCUAGGUACUUUUUAAGCGCAUAUGACUUAGCAUUGGCCGACACUUCCACCCUUACAAUUUUUGUGGUAUUCCGUCGUUUUCUACUCCUCAUCAACAAUUACGGCUCACAUGAUUUUGCAAUAUCGCUCGGAGAUGUCUAAGAACAUCUUUGGCUGUGUAACCAAUGCGCUAUUUGUCAUUCUUGUCCUUCAGGAGCCUCUAAACAACGUCCAUAUUCAACGGCUUCAACCUAGAAUUAUCUCCCGCGUUACGGGUGUUCGAAACACACACGAGACAAACAAAUACAGCUCAGACCAGAAUGUCAAAUAUUCCACAAAAUUAUUGAUUCCGACCGGCAAUUCGUCCCAGACCCUGGUGAUACCAUCGCUAGGGUAACUAACUACUAGUACUAUGCGGCGAUUCGCAGAGGAAAGUUAUGUCUUAUACGUCGAGAAACACAGGAGGAGGGUAGUUAGUUAAUUCAGAGUAGGUGGGUACGUUGCAAAAAUGAUCUAUUGUAAUACAUUGUACAAUAUGAGCUUUAACAAUUCCUCAGUUUUUAAGUAUUGCAUUUUUACGUAAAGGACACAGACCUUUCUUAUUUAAAAUUUUUGCUCAAUAUAGAAUGGACAAGUAUUGAUUUAUAUAAUUAGUAUAAAAUAAAAUAAUAAUUUACCCACUUCAAGAAAAAAAGGAGUUAUGUAGUUUUUUUCAUCUCUAGUUUUUUAUUUUUUUAUUUUGUAUUGUUUAGAUGGGUGGACAAGCUCACAGCCCACCUGGUGUUAAGUGGUUACUGGAGCACAUAGACAGCUACAACGUAAAUGCGCCACCCACCUUUAGACAUCAGUUCUAAGAUCUCAGUAUAGUUACAACGGCUGCCCUACCCUUCAGAUCGAAACGCAUUACUGCUUCACGGCAGAAAUAGGCAAGGCGGUGGUACCUACCCGCGCGGACUCAGCAGAGAUCCUACCACCAAUUUGAUCGUUACAACUGACGUGACGCCCUUAUACGUAACGUACAUAAACGUGCCUACAAAUUCUUGAUUUUCUCUUUUCAUCGGUACGUUACUCUUAUAGGUAAGUUUUUAAAAAUUGUUAGAAAUUUCUUGUAUUAUUGCGAUUCCAAAAGCAGAUGCGGUACUAUUAUCGAGCCCAGAUAGAUGGAUUUAUAACAAGACGAUUGAAUAAUAUAUUGACCUACUUGUGAAAAAAAGUUUCGAUGUUAUACAACUUACACAAAUGUAAAUGAAUAUUAAAUAAUAAGUAUACUUACAGUGUGGAAUGAUGGUGUCUGUGAUCGUGCCGCAGGCGCGGCCCCCCCGGCGCGCCCAGCCGCUCCAUGCCCGCGCACCCCGGCGCUUGUACCGAGAGCAUCUGCAAAUCACAACACACUGCUCUCACUUAUGUGGUCAUCUUCUACGUCAAUCGGAUUUAGGUUUUACUGGUGGUAGGACCUCUUGUGAGUCCGCGCGGUUGGGUACCACCACCCUGCCUAUUUCUGCCGUGAAGUAGUAAUGCGUUUCGAUUUAAAGGGCGGGGCAGCCGUUGUAACUAUACUUGAGACCUUAGAAUUUAUAUCUCAAGGUGUGUGGCGCAUUUACGUUGUGGAUGUCUAUGGGCUCCAGUAACCACUUAACACAAGGUGGGCUGUGAGCUCGUCUACCCAACUAAGCAAUAAAAAAAAAGAUUUUCUUUUUUACUUGGGACAGCCGUUACAAUGAGAACUUCGACCUGAUUUCUUAAAGUGGAUGGAUAGCAUUAAUGCUGUUAUGUCUACGAUCUUGAUCUACAAGAAAAUUAUACAGAAAUGUAAUAAUGUAUUAUUCCAUGAGAUGAUUUUGCAUUGAUUCACAUUUGGAAUCACCCAAAAUAUAAUAUAUAUUUUUUGUGAUUCUUUGUGUUUUUUCUACAAGCAUGACUGGUCUUUGACCUUUUAAUUUUUCAUUGACUAAGUACUUAUUUUGUGUUAAUACCAAAAAUCAGAUUACAUCAUGCUAUUUUUAUGUAUUACAUAAUUGUCUUUACUGCAGCAUUUCAAAAAUAUUCCAUUUUGUUAUUUGUUAGCAAUAAUAUGAUAUUCAAGUAUGAAAAUAAACUCCUCUUACUUAUUUCCAAGAAGUGUGACUUGAACUUUCUUACCAUGUUUUGUAAUUUAAUCUUCUUUGAGUAAUAACAUCCGUCUGUAUAGUCAAUAUUAGUUUGUUUUGAAAGCUAUUGAUUGGUAUGCAAGAUUCUAUUUUAUGUGUAGAAUUUAUGAGGCUUAACAAUGUUUUGCUUUGAAAUUGAUCAUGUUGAGUUGUAGACUAAACAAUUUGCCAUCAUCCAAUGACAUUUCAAUGCAAAAAUUAUUGAUAGCAUAUACAAUUCCAUUGGUUUAAAAUAUUUCAGAUACCUUUAAAAUACAUGGGUAUGUAAAAUGGGUCAAAUGUUCAAAUUUUGUUGUCUCUGGCUCUCAUUAUCAUAAGAAUGAAACAAAUAAAAAAGUGUUGAUAUAACUCAUAUUGGAUUUUGUAACAUUUUCUAACAAAAAAAAAAACAUAUCUUAUUUAGUCAAUUUGUGAUCUGUUCUGUAAUAAACAGUUUAACUUAACAUAUUUUUUUUAUUACAAUUAUUUGUAUUUUCAUUACAGAUAAUAGAAUAGAUAAUGCAUUUAGGCAAGCCUAGUGGGAUUUUUGCACCUAUUCAUUCAAAUGUUUAGUGACUAAGACAUCCUGUCUUAAAUAUAUUGGGGCUCUAAACCAUAGUUAUAUUAUUCUCAUUUUUAUAAUA